rnacentral:rRNA from 1 species
UACGAAGGGGGCUAGCGUUGCUCGGAAUCACUGGGCGUAAAGGGUGCGUAGGCGGGUCUUUAAGUCAGGGGUGAAAUCCUGGAGCUCAACUCCAGAACUGCCUUUGAUACUGAGGAUCUUGAGUUCGGGAGAGGUGAGUGGAACUGCGAGUGUAGAGGUGAAAUUCGUAGAUAUUCGCAAGAACACCAGUGGCGAAGGCGGCUCACUGGUCCGAUACUGACGCUGAGGCACGAAAGCGUGGGGAGCAAACAGG